UGGUAGACUAGUUGGUAGACUAACAUUUGA
rnacentral:piRNA from 1 species